GGUUGAGUAACAUAAUGGUAAUGUAUGAGAUUGCAAAUCUUAUAAUGGCAGUUCGAUUCUGCCCUUAACCU